rnacentral:rRNA from 1 species
GACGAACGCUGGCGGCGUGCUUAACACAUGCAAGUCGAACGGAAAGGCCCUGCUUUUGUGGGGUGCUCGAGUGGCGAACGGGUGAGUAACACGUGAGUAACCUGCCCUUGACUUUGGGAUAACUUCAGGAAACUGGGGCUAAUACCGGAUAGGAGCUCCUGCUGCAUGGUGGGGGUUGGAAAGUUUCGGCGGUUGGGGAUGGACUCGCGGCUUAUCAGCUUGUUGGUGGGGUAGUGGCUUACCAAGGCUUUGACGGGUAGCCGGCCUGAGAGGGUGACCGGCCACAUUGGGACUGAGAUACGGCCCAGACUCCUACGGGAGGCAGCAGUGGGGAAUAUUGCACAAUGGGCGGAAGCCUGAUGCAGCAACGCCGCGUGCGGGAUGACGGCCUUCGGGUUGUAAACCGCUUUCGCCUGUGACGAAGCGUGAGUGACGGUAAUGGGUAAAGAAGCACCGGCUAACUACGUGCCAGCAGCCGCGGUGAUACGUAGGGUGCGAGCGUUGUCCGGAUUUAUUGGGCGUAAAGGGCUCGUAGGUGGUUGAUCGCGUCGGAAGUGUAAUCUUGGGGCUUAACCCUGAGCGUGCUUUCGAUACGGGUUGACUUGAGGAAGGUAGGGGAGAAUGGAAUUCCUGGUGGAGCGGUGGAAUGCGCAGAUAUCAGGAGGAACACCAGUGGCGAAGGCGGUUCUCUGGGCCUUUCCUGACGCUGAGAAGCGAAAGCGUGGGGAGCGAACAGGCUUAGAUACCCUGGUAGUCCACGCUGUAAACGGUGGGUACUAGGUGUGGGGUCCAUUCCACGGGUUCCGUGCCGUAGCUAACGCUUUAAGUACCCCGCCUGGGGAGUACGGCCGCAAGGCUAAAACUCAAAGGAAUUGACGGGGCCCCGCACAAGCGGCGGAGCAUGCGGAUUAAUUCGAUGCAACGCGUAGAACCUUACCUGGGUUUGACAUGGAUCGGGAGUGCUCAGAGAUGGGUGUGCCUCUUUUGGGGUCGGUUCACAGGUGGUGCAUGGCUGUCGUCAGCUCGUGUCGUGAGAUGUUGGGUUAAGUCCCGCAACGAGCGCAACCCUUGUUCACUGUUGCCAGCACGUUAUGGUGGGGACUCAGUGGAGACCGCCGGGGUCAACUCGGAGGAAGGUGGGGAUGACGUCAAGUCAUCAUGCCCCUUAUGUCCAGGGCUUCACGCGUGCUACAAUGGCUGGUACAGAGAGUGGCGAGCCUGUGAGGGUGAGCGAAUCUCGGAAAGUCGGUCUCAGUUCGGAUUGGGGUCUGCAACUCGACCUCAUGAAGUCGGAGUCGCUAGUAAUCGCAGAUCAGCAACGCUGCGGUGAAUACGUUCCCGGGGCC